CCCUUAGAUGUUCUGGGCCGCACGCGCGCUACACUGAUGCAUUCAACGAGUUUCUUCCUGGUCCGAGAGGAAUGGGUAACCUUUUGAAAGUGCAUCGUGAUAGGGAUAGACUAUUGCAAUUAUUGGUCUUCAACGAGGAAUUCCUAGUAGACGUAGUUCAUCAGACUGCAUCGAUUACGUCCCUGCCCUUUGUACACACCGCCCGUCGCUCCUACCGAUUGAAUGGUCCGGUGAAAUCUUCGGAUUGAGACUUUGUUUUCUUCACGGAAAACGCUGUUUUAAAAAGUUGAUUAAACCUUACCAUUUAGAGGAAGGUGAAGUCGUAACA
rnacentral:rRNA from 1 species